rnacentral:tRNA from 1 species
GGGGUUGUGGCUCAGUGGUAGAGCAUUUGCUUUCACACAUGAAGCACUGGGUUCGAUCCUCAGCACCACA